CUCUCUCUCUCUCUCUCUCUCUUUCUAAACACAAAGGGGAAAAAAGGGAGACGGAAUGAUGAGUCGAAAAACCCACAGAGGGAAACGAGCCGAUCAACGUUCCUUUCUAAAAGGUCUAAAAAGUGAACUAACCUCUUUGGAAUCUUCGACCCCUCUAUAUUUUCAUCAGCAGAACAAGAGCAAGGAUCGAAACGACCAGUAGAAAUUCCUGCUACUUUUCAAAAUUUAACUCUCCAAAAACGUCAAGAGCCAGAACCUUGCUCCCGUUCUUUCCUUGAACGCGUCGCACAAACUAUGAAAUACAUACUAGAUUUCCGGAAACGAGCAGCUAAACCCCUCUCAAAUUUCGUGCCAAUGAGGAAACCAACAAGACCUUUGCCUUUACAAUUCAUGAUAAAAAAACAAAACUCGCUCAUAGAAAAUCCUGUGUCGAUAACCAAAAAAGAAAAAUACUGGUGAGGAAAAUAGAGAAGGUAGUCUGCUCAUUAAAAAUCCUGCCGUCCGACAUGGCUACCUUGACAUCAGCCCGAAACUGCCCGAGACUUAGACAAGAUAAUUAAAAAACCUGAAAAUCAGUAGCGAUCCACCAACUCGAGUCUUCUCCUUUUGAUUUUCUCUAAAUUCUUUUUUAUCUAAGUAAUUAACUAAAUAUUUUAUAAUUAUUUUGUUUAUUUCUUUUCCUUUUUUUGUUUCUUUUCCUUCUUCUACAAUGCGUACAUCGGUGCCAAGCAAUUUAUGUACUAGAGAACUACAGUUGUAAGAACAACGCAGAUCUAUAAAUAAUAAAAAUUGUAAACUAAUAUAA